UCUUGUGCUUCUACAAGUCUUGCCAAAUACUCUUGUCUUCUUUGGCUCAUACACCAAGAAGGAACGGCCUCGAUUUGGUAAGGGCAGCCCGGCUUCUCCUGGCGCUCACCCUUCUACCACAAUCUCCACGCUCGCUUCGCUUCCCGGGCAGUGCACCAAAAGAUGUCGCUCCUCGCGACAACACACCAGCGACGUGGAGAAUCACUGCUGCCUAGCCUCGUCUCUAGCCUCGUCAGCAACCUCUGCUAGAACCUCUGCCAACAUCCUAACCCAG
rnacentral:lncRNA from 1 species